CUGGCUCAGAUUGAACGCUGGCGGCAUGCCUUACACAUGCAAGUCGAACGGCAGCACGGGUGCUUGCACCUGGUGGCGAGUGGCGAACGGGUGAGUAAUACAUCGGAACAUGUCCUGUAGUGGGGGAUAGCCCGGCGAAAGCCGGAUUAAUACCGCAUACGAUCUACGGAUGAAAGCGGGGGACCUUCGGGCCUCGCGCUAUAGGGUUGGCCGAUGGCUGAUUAGCUAGUUGGUGGGGUAAAGGCCUACCAAGGCGACGAUCAGUAGCUGGUCUGAGAGGACGACCAGCCACACUGGGACUGAGACACGGCCCAGACUCCUACGGGAGGCAGCAGUGGGGAAUUUUGGACAAUGGGCGAAAGCCUGAUCCAGCAAUGCCGCGUGUGUGAAGAAGGCCUUCGGGUUGUAAAGCACUUUUGUCCGGAAAGAAAUCCUUGGUUCUAAUAUAACCGGGGGAUGACGGUACCGGAAGAAUAAGCACCGGCUAACUACGUGCCAGCAGCCGCGGUAAUACGUAGGGUGCGAGCGUUAAUCGGAAUUACUGGGCGUAAAGCGUGCGCAGGCGGUUUGUUAAGACCGAUGUGAAAUCCCCGGGCUCAACCUGGGAACUGCAUUGGUGACUGGCAAGCUAGAGUAUGGCAGAGGGGGGUAGAAUUCCACGUGUAGCAGUGAAAUGCGUAGAGAUGUGGAGGAAUACCGAUGGCGAAGGCAGCCCCCUGGGCCAAUACUGACGCUCAUGCACGAAAGCGUGGGGAGCAAACAGGAUUAGAUACCCUGGUAGUCCACGCCCUAAACGAUGUCAACUAGUUGUUGGGGAUUCAUUUCCUUAGUAACGUAGCUAACGCGUGAAGUUGACCGCCUGGGGAGUACGGUCGCAAGAUUAAAACUCAAAGGAAUUGACGGGGACCCGCACAAGCGGUGGAUGAUGUGGAUUAAUUCGAUGCAACGCGAAAAACCUUACCUACCCUUGACAUGGUCGGAAUCCCGCUGAGAGGUGGGAGUGCUCGAAAGAGAACCGGCGCACAGGUGCUGC
rnacentral:rRNA from 1 species